ACUUUUGAAUAUAGUAUCGGCCGCCGGGGAUCCCUCGAGCUCUUCUCCACUUAAAAUUAAUUAUGAUGGACAUCAGAAUCAAUAUCCAGUCGUGUUUGGAGACUAUAAAGAAUGGCUAUUGGCUAAGAUGUUAGUUUGCAUUGUGAAAAUGAAUUUGCCAAAAGUAGUAAAUUGAAAAUUAUUAAUGCAUGUGAUGUGACUGGUGAAAGAAUUACAUUUCCAUGAAAUGAAAAUUAAAAUGAAUUAAUGACCGGUCCCUUUACUAAAGAGGAGAGUGUUUCAUUUUAUCAAGAGGAGCAAAACGAAAUCAGAACGCGUUAGGUAAGUCAUUUCCUCAAACCGUCUUAUAUUUUUAUUAUAAAUAUAGGUUUUGAAGUUGGGAUGCAUGCAUGAAUUGCAUACUCCUCUUGAGCUUCGCAUUAAUUCAAAUUCAUCAAAUGAAUUCUCUUGUGCACUUGUCUCUUAGUAGCAUCAACCCAGGGAUCUGGUUGCCCUACCCGAUGUGGAAACGUAGUGAUUCCAUAUCCAUUUGGAGUCGGGUCGGGUUGCUCUCUGGUGGCAUCACUUGCAAUACUUCAACUGGUCCUCCCAAAAAAUGGUCACCGGAACUCCGGCGACGAUGGCUGUUGCCGCUCACCCAUUGCCAAAAUUAAUUUUUCACACCACCUGCCUCCCUAAACAAACACAAAAUUAAUUAAUGCAUGUAAAAAUGAUUAACGAAUUGAACCUGUUCCUUUUUUAAUAGCGUUGGCCGGGUAGUGGAGUGAAGGGGACCUUGUCGCAUGCCGGUUGCUCGCCCUCGGCGCCGCCGACGAUCACCAAAAUUAUCGCGCACACAAUCAUCCACAUCGUCGCCAUCACAAUACUCAGAGAGAGACAGAAAGAGGUGAAGAGAGAGGUGUUUGUUGUGUGAAGAAUUGCAAGAGAGAGAGAGGUGUGAAGAAUUGUGAGGGUGUGAGGCCUUUAUUUAUAAGGAGAAAUUUUACUAACGAAAUCUACUGUAUCUCUAAGCUCCUAAAGAUGCAUGAGGUGAUGUGUAUACAUACCGAAUUU
rnacentral:lncRNA from 1 species